GGAACAUAGGAGAGAUGUUGAGAAAUCUGUCUCCACCAUGACCAAUCUUUAGGCUUGCAUUUAGUUAAACAGAAAGAGAGUGAAAACGAGAUAGAAUUUCUCGACAUCGAAAUAAAGAUAGUGUGAGGUGAAUACCAUCUGAGUGUGUGUAGGAAGAACACAUACGUCCCGUUGUUCAUAGAUGCGAGUGCGAAGGAACCUUAGGCAUAUAAGGUUGCGGCCUUUAGAGCGUUACUCCAGAGAAUAAUGACACACUGUACUACGUUUGCAAGUGCCUAUGAAGAGUUAAAUUGGAUUAUACGACAAGCUAGGUGCCACGGAUAUAAAGAAAAUUUGAUUUUGAAUAUGUGGGCUAAAAUAUCGGAAAAAUAUAACUGCAACUUAAAUAGGAAUAGAGACCAGUCUGAAACUGAUCAGCGUGAGAAGCUGUUUAAUGUAAAUAUAAAUCCGAUCACCUUGAAGUACAGGAAGAAAAUAGAGAGAGCCUCAGGUGCCA
rnacentral:lncRNA from 1 species